AAAAAGAUAAGCUAAACAAAGCUUUCAGGUUCAUACCCUGAAUAUAGAAAAAUUCUUCUUUUUA
rnacentral:tRNA from 1 species